rnacentral:rRNA from 1 species
CACUCCUGCGGGAGGCAGCAGUGGGGAAUUUUGGACAAUGGGCGAAAGCCUGAUCCAGCAAUGCCGCGUGAGUGAAGAAGGCCUUCGGGUUGUAAAGCUCUUUUGUCAGGGAAGAAACGGUGAGAGCUAAUAUCUUUUGCUAAUGACGGUACCUGAAGAAUAAGCACCGGCUAACUACGUGCCAGCAGCCGCGGUAAUACGUAGGGUGCAAGCGUUAAUCGGAAUUACUGGGCGUAAAGCGUGCGCAGGCGGUUUUGUAAGUCUGAUGUGAAAUCCCCGGGCUCAACCUGGGAAUUGCAUUGGAGACUGCAAGGCUAGAAUCUGGCAGAGGGGGGUAGAAUUCCACGUGUAGCAGUGAAAUGCGUAGAUAUGUGGAGGAACACCGAUGGCGAAGGCAGCCCCCUGGGUCAAGAUUGACGCUCAUGCACGAAAGCGUGGGGAGCAAACAGGAUUAGAAACCCCUGUAGUCCCA